rnacentral:rRNA from 1 species
AUACGUAGGUGACAAGCGUUAUCCGGAUUUACUGGGCGUAAAGGGCGUGUAGGCGGUCUUGCAAGUCAGAAGUGAAAUUCCUGAGCUCAACUCGGGCGCUGCUUCUGAAACUGCAGGACUUGAGUGCUGGAGGGGAUAGCGGAAUUCCUAGUGGAGCGGUAAAAUGCGCAGAUAUUAGGAAGAACACCGGUGGCGAAGGCGGCUACGUGGACAAUAACUGACGAUGCGGCGGGAAAACGUGGGGAACAAAAAGGAAUAGAGUCCCUGGUGGUCCACGCCGUAAACGAUGAAUACUAAGUGUAGGAGGUAUCGACUCCCUCUGUGACGCAGUUAACACAAUAAGUAUUCCGCCUGGGGAGUACGGCCGCAAGGUUGAAACUCAAAUGAAUUGACGGGG